rnacentral:rRNA from 1 species
UAGGGAAUAUUGGUCAAUGGAUGCAAGUCUGAACCAGCCAUGCCGCGUGCAGGAAGAAGGCCUUCUGGGUUGUAAACUGCUUUUGCCGGGGGAUAAAAUUCCCAUGCGUGGGACAUUGAAGGUACCCGGUGAAUAAGCCACGGCUAACUACGUGCCAGCAGCCGCGGUAAUACGUAGGUGGCAAGCGUUGUCCGGAUUUAUUGGGUUUAAAGGGUGCGUAGGCGGCCUUGUAAGUCAGUUCUGAAAUAUCCCGGCUUAACCGGGAGGGUGGGAUUGAUACUGCAGGGCUUGAGUGGAAUCGAGGUAGGCGGAAUUGACGGUGUAGCGGUGAAAUGCUUAGAUAUCGUCAAGAACACCGAUAGUGUAGACAGCUUACUAGACUUCAACUGACGCUGAGGCACGAAAGUGUGGGGAUCAAACAGG